rnacentral:lncRNA from 1 species
CCUUAUUUAAAGAUUAUAGUUUUCCCUGUUAGAAUUUUUUAUUUUAACAUCAAAAGAUAUUCAACGAAUUUUUAAUUAGAGGCAAAAUUAAUGCAUUGUUGACUUAAAUGGGCCAGCAUCCUGUCCUGUGGCGGGAGGCUAUGUGGGCCGAGUCAUGUUCGAAAUGGCGUGAGGCUGGGUUGAGCCGAGUCAUGUUCGAAGUGGCGUGAGGCCAGGUGGGCCCAGUCACAAUCGAGACCCGUGGGCGCUGUUUCUGUACGCUUUAAGUGAAUUGGUUGCGUAUUUCUAACAGCUCGAGCAUUUGGGAUUAAUGGUUAGCGUCAGCGAUCCGACACAUUGUUGGCUUAAAUGGGCAAGCAUCCUGCCCUGUGGCGGGAGGCCAUGUGGGCCGAGUCAUGUUCGAAAUGGCGUAAGGCUGAGUUGGGUCGAGUCAUUUUGAAGUGGCGUGAGACCAGGUGGGCCGAGUCACAAUCGAGACCCGUGGGCGCUGUUUCUGUACGCUUUAAGUGAAUUGGUUGCGUAUUUCUAACAGCUCGAGCUUUUGGGAUUAAUGGUUAGCGCCAACGAUCCGACAAGUGGUAUCAGAGCCAGAGGUCACGGGUUCGAUUCCUGCAUGCUGCAAAUGUGUGCAGGUGCUGUAUGGGGGAUUGUCGGCUUAAAUGGGCCAGCAUCCUGCCCUGUGGCGGGAGGCCAUGUGGGCCAAGCCAUGUUCGAAAUGGCAUGAGGCUGGGUUGGGCCGAGUCAUGUUCGAAGUAGUAUGAGGCCAGGUGGGCCGAGUCACAAUCGAGACCCGUGGGCACUGUUUCUGUACGCUUUAAGUGAAUUGGUUGCGUAUUUCUAACAGCUCGAGCUUUUGGGAUUAAUAGUUAGCGCCAACGAUCCGACAGACAGUGAAUUCUGAGCUCUCCUGAAAAGUUUUAUCUCAUGCUUAAUGAAUUUUUUAUUAGGGUCCGUUUGGUUCAAGGCAAAACUAUGAAAAAUAAUUUUUAAUGGAAAAAUAUUUUUGGUGGAAAUUUUUUUUUUACAUUUUAUAGUGUUUGAAUCGUAGGAAAAAAAAUAAUUUUCUAUCAACAUUGGUUUAGUUGGAAGGAAAAAAAUUUACAUUU